rnacentral:rRNA from 1 species
GGAGUCUGGGCCGUGUCUCAGUCCCAAUGUGGCCGUCCGCCCUCUCAGGCCGGCUACCGAUCGUCGCUUUGGUGGGCCGUUACCCCGCCAACUGGCUAAUCGGACGCGGAUCCAUCUCAUACCACCGGAGUUUUUCACACUGUAACAUGCGUUACUGUGCGCUUAUGCGGUAUUAGCAGAAGUUUCCCUCUGUUAUCCCCCUGUAUGAGGCAGGUUAUCCACGCGUUACUCACCCGUCCGCCACUCGACAGUCAAUUCCUUUGUCCGAAGACUCAGUCAUCUCAGUCUCGUUCGACUUGCAUGUGUUAGGCACGCCGCCAGCGUUCAUC